UCUUGAUGAAGAAAUUGAAGUUGGAAAAUCAAAUUUUGAUGUAUUGCUUUGGUGGAAAGUUAACUCACCUAGAUUUCCACUUCUUUCUGAGAUGGCUCGUGAUGUGUUGGCGAUUCCCGUUUCAAGUGUGGCGUCUGAAUGUGCCUUUAGUACUGGAGGGCGCAUACUUGAUUCAUUUAGGAGUUCAUUAACUCCUAAAUUGGUACAAGCUCUAGUGUGCCUUCAAGAUUGGCUUCGGAGUGAGCCACAACCCAUAAGUAUUGAGGAAGAUUUAGAUUUUCUUGAGCAACUUGAAGAAGAUUUGGCUAAACUUGGAAAAGAACUUUGCAUUGAUGACAUGUAAAAUUGGAGGUUUCCUUCACUAACUCUACUAAAGGAGAAGGAAGAUUUCAUCAUGCCUCGACUUCAUGAUUCUAAUGCUCGAUCACCUGUUUGGAAUCACUAUGAAAAGCUUGAAGAAAAAGAAGAUGGAUCGUGGAUAGUAAAAUGUGUUCAUUGUGGCCGUGUUACUUAUUACCAUUCACACAAAAUUGGGACUGCCUCCUUAAGGAAGCAUGUUAAGCAUUGUUUGGAAAAUAGGAACCAGAAUCAUCAA